rnacentral:lncRNA from 1 species
UGCCUCCCGGGUUCAAGCAAUUCUCCUGCCUCAGCCUCCAGAGUAUCUGGAGUUACAGGCGUCCACCACCAUACCUGCUGAUUUUUGUAUUUUUAGUAGAGACGGUGUUUCACCAUAAUCCAGGCCGGUCUCGAACUCCUGCCGUCAGGUGAUCCACUGGCCUCGGCCUCCCAAAGUGCUGGCAUUACAGGCAUGAGCCCCGUACCCGGCCUCUAAUUUACCAAUAUUCCUUUGAGUAAUAUGCACAUAGGAGUGCCAGGAACCUGCUAGACAUCGCCUGUGCUUUGCCCUGUAUUUGGAAGCCCAUUGGGAAAUUUGAAAAGGUCUGAGAAGAAUCAUCCCGUCUGUUAAGUGAUAAUUUGAGAAGAAAGAAACAUCGUCCUUGAAGUGCAGAGAGUUGCUUCUCUCUUGACACCUUAGAGGCAAGUCCAGGGAGCAGAAUUAAGUGACAGUAAAAGGAAAAGAUCACAUGUAUCACAGGAAUGAGAAAUCCUUAUGGCUAAGUCAGCUUUCCACAGUUAGGCUACACUUUGAUGUUGGCAAAAGUUUCCCUAGUGGGAGAGACAUAGGGAAAAGGGCAGAGGAAUAAAGAGACAGCUUCACUUACCCAGUCUAAGUAAAGAGGUGAACAGUUCAUCCAUCUAAUAUUUAAUAUGGGCUUCUCUUGUGAAGAGCUGGAAAUGCAUUUAUUAAAGUCUGCAUAAGCAGUUGAGUUAUAACCUCCAAAAUAAACUGGAAGAAAUAAAGGAAAAGAAACUGACUUACUGAAAAGUUUAUAAGCCCUCACAGAGAGCCAAGCUGCAAACAAGAAUCCAUGCAGAGCUGAAGGGAUGUCUCCGGGGGAUUAGUUGCAGAAUUGUUUUCUCUAGUGGAUGCUGUAGUGUAUGGACCGAUUCCUCCAUUGAUGGCCAAACUACUCAUUCCCCCACCUGCUGAGAAUCAGAGUGUGGACGGCUGAUGACUCAUGACUGAGUUCCUUACCAGGAAUUAACCUUGACUGGGCCCAAGUGUAUGCUCCCUGUCUGGGUUCAAAUUAAAAUCCAAAACGUAGUCUAUGUGGGAGUACAGAUACCCAGUCAUCAUGUCUCAGUUUGGGGCAGCUCUGAUGGGUCCUCCCAGUUCUAGAACCAGCUGUAGUCUUUAUUGUAAUGGCAUCAUAGUUCAGCUUGCCCUUGCCUAAUUCUGCUGCCUUCCUUUCUUCACUGGUGUUCUUUCCCAAACAACUCGGGAAUAAAUUCCCUGCAUGCAAAUCUUUGCCUCCAAGUCGGUUUUCUCUGAAACUAGACCUCAGAAACUUCAACAUAGUGAAACUCAUAGUGAAACCUUAUCCUUUGUCUGGGACUGAUGGUUUCUCUGGCAUGUGGGACAUUCAGUCCCUAAAGUGGAAGAGACCCAAGCAAACCGGAAUGGUUAUUCAUUGAACCUCAAUGAUACAGUUAAAAUAGACUGAAAAUUCUACUCAAAGAUGAGCCAAAAAUGUCAUGAAAAUUCUGUCAUCAACAUGUGCA